rnacentral:rRNA from 1 species
UACGAAGGGUGCAAGCGUUACUCGGAAUUACUGGGCGUAAAGGGCUCGUAGGCGGCCAACUAAGUCAGACGUGAAAUCCCUCGGCUUAACCGAGGAACUGCGUCUGAUACUGGAUGGCUUGAGUUUGGGAGAGGGAUGCGGAAUUCCAGGUGUAGCGGUGAAAUGCGUAGAUAUCUGGAGGAACACCGGUGGCGAAGGCGGCAUCCUGGACCAACACUGACGCUGAGUGAGCGAAAGCCAGGGGAGCAAACGGG